rnacentral:rRNA from 1 species
AUGAGUUGUUUUCACCUCGCAAAGAAGACGUGCCGGAACCUGACUUCGAUCUCUUCAAAAUUCUGGUGGGGUGCAACGAACGGUGAACGGAAAGUACAUUGGCUCUCAUGGGAGAAGAUGUGUGCUCCUAAGAAGGAGGGAGGCCUGGGGUUCCGUGACCCGCAGGCCUUCAAUCAGGCCCUUCUUGCCAAGCAAGCUUGGCGGCUAUUAACUGCUCCGGCUUCACUGGUUGCUCGUGUUUUGAAGGCUAGGUAUUUCCAGGAUUCCUCCAUCCUUGCUGCCACUUGCCCCUCAAAUGCCUCAUACACCUUUCGUAGCAUCUUACAUGGAAGGGAUUUGCUUCGGGAGGGGCUUGUUUGGAGGAUUGGGCAUGGGUCCAGAGUCAACAUUCAUCACGAAAACUGGAUUCCGAGGAAUGGGUAUAUGCGGCCACUGGGUCAGCAGUACCUCCAGGGUGUUACAAAAGUGGCUGAUCUGUUAAAUGAGGAUGGAAUGGACUGGAAUGUUGAGAGGGUGGAUGAGAUGUUAUCGACCUCGGAUGCCGCUGAUAAAGCAAAUCGCUGUGGGUGGACCGGGCACAGAGGAUUUUAUGGCUUGGAACUUCACAAAAAAUGGCUCUUUUAG